CCUACGGGAGGCAGCAGUAGGGAAUAUUGCUCAAUGGGGGAAACCCUGAAGCAGCAACGCCGCGUGGAGGAUGAAGGUUUUAGGAUUGUAAACUCCUUUUGUUAGAGAAGAUUAUGACGGUAUCUAACGAAUAAGCACCGGCUAACUCCGUGCCAGCAGCCGCGGUAAUACGGAGGGUGCAAGCGUUACUCGGAAUCACUGGGCGGAAAGAGUGCGUAGGUGGGGUAAUAAGUCAGAUGUGAAAUCCUGGAGUUUAACUACAGAACUGCAUUUGAAACUGGUACUCUGGAGUGUGGGAGAGGUAAGUGGAAUUCGUGGUGUAGGGGUAAAAUCCGGAGAGAUCAAGAGGAAUACUCAUGGCGAAGGCGACCUGCUGGAACAUUACUGACGCUGAUGGACGAAAGCGUGGGGAGCAAACAGGAUUAGAUACCCGAGUAGUC
rnacentral:rRNA from 1 species